CCUACGGGAGGCAGCAGUGAGGAAUAUUGGUCAAUGGGCGCGAGCCUGAACCAGCCAAGCCGCGUGAAGGAUGACUGCUCUACGGGUUGUAAACUUCUUUUAUAAAGGAAUAAAGUGAGGCACGUGUGCCUUUUUGUCAGUACCUUAUGAAUAAGGAUCGGCUAACUCCGUGCCAGCAGCCGCGGGAAUACGGAGGAUCCGAGCGUUAUCCGGAUUUAGUGGGUUUAAAGGGAGCGUAGAUGGGUUGUUAAGUCAGUUGUGAAAGUUCGCGGCUCAACCGUGAAAUUGCAAUUGAUACUGGCGGUCUAGAGUACAGUUGAGGUAGGCGGAAUUCGUGGUGUAGCGGUGAAAUGCUUAGAUAUCACGCAGAACUCCGAUUGCGAAGGCAGCUUACUAAACUGUCACUGACGUUGAUGCUCGAAAGUGUGGGUAGCAAACAGGAUUAGAUACCCGUGUAGUC
rnacentral:rRNA from 1 species